rnacentral:rRNA from 1 species
GACAGAGGGUGCAAACGUUGUUCGGAAUUACUGGGCGUAAAGCGCGUGUAGGCGGCUUGGCAAGUCGGGUGUGAAAGCCCUGGGCUCAACCCAGGAAGUGCACUCGAAACUGCUUCGCUCGAGUAUCGGAGAGGAAAGCGGAAUUCUCGGUGUAGCGGUGAAAUGCGUAGAUAUCAAGAGGAACACCAGUGGCGAAGGCGAGUCCCUGGACAACACCUGACACUGAGGCACGAAAGCUAGGGGAGCAAACAGG